CCCACAGCCAGAAAACGCAGGUGACCAGGAGGGGAGAAGGGGCUACACUUGCUGCCCCGUGUCCAGCACAUUCCCCUGCUGCCUCUGCUGGGACGGCCGGGCCUGGGGCGCUCCAAGUGUGGCCGGCGGGGACCCUGCUCCUCGGGCGCUGGGGGACGCUGCCCAGGAGCUCUGGGCCCCCGCGGAGGGGCACGGCCUGCGAUGCUGACCUGGGUAAGAACGAGACCUUGCUGUCCACUGUCUCCGCACUUGACCUUCCACCUGGCACUACCUGAGCACUGUCCCCCAUGUCCCCGGGCUUGCCUCCUCCCCGCCCCGGUGCCGUGCAGGACCAGCGCCUGUACCCCAGGGUCUUAGUCUGGCCACCUGGCCAACGCAGCCGGGGCUGCAGCGAACGUGGGACGUGUCGAGGGUCCGAGGGUAGAUUUGCGGGACCCGGAUAGCGUGGAAGUGUGGGUUGGAGGUCCGCGUCUCUGUGACGGCCUUCAGAACUGUGCCCGCCAGCAAAGCCCGAGGGGCCCACGCGCUGGCCAGCGGAGCCGGCAAGCGCCCCCUCGUUUCUGCCCAAACUAGCAUGUCCUGGGUGAGCCCCCACGUCCUGGAAGCCGGGGGGGGGGGGGGAGCGGCGGCUCUGUGUCCAGUCUGUGUCCCGCAGCCCGCCUGUCUGUGUCCUGUGGCCCUGUCCACAUCGAGAUGCUCCUUUUGUUGUUUCCGCUGUGUACGCGCUCAGAAUGUCACGAAUACUAACCGUGUGUCUUUUCCGUGUACUGCGGGUGUUUUCCUUCCACUGUGACUUGUCUCCUAGCUGUGUUUUCUUUCUUUUGUACAAAUGUGUCCUUUUCUGAUUGUAAAAGUACGAUGUGGUUUUUUUAGCAUAGAAAACCUGGAAAACGCAAAAGCGAAACAAAACGCAAAACCAAAGAAAUAAACGUUGCCAACCGCCUCCCCUGGA